UACGAAGGGGGCUAGCGUUGCUCGGAAUUACUGGGCGUAAAGCGCACGUAGGCGGCUUGUUAAGUCAGGGGUGAAAUCCUGGAGCUCAACUCCAGAACUGCCUUUGAUACUGGCGAGCUUGAGUUCGGGAGAGGUGAGUGGAACUGCGAGUGUAGAGGUGAAAUCGUAGAUAUCGCAAGAACACCAGUGGCGAAGGCGGCUCACUGGCCCGAUACUGACGCUGAGGUGCGAAAAGCGUGGGGGAG
rnacentral:rRNA from 1 species